rnacentral:lncRNA from 1 species
GAAAUGGCUUUUUUGGCUUAAUUGUGCAUCACUACUCCAUGUUUCAGAGGAGAAAUGGGGCAGUGGUCACAUGUUGUUUGUUAUGUGUCAGUUGCAAUUAGUAAUGCUGUUCCUAAGUGAUAUAUAGUGUGGUGUUUUUUUGUUUGUUUGUUUGUUUUGUUUUGUUUUGUAUUGCAGCUAUGUGAAAUACAGGUUGUUUGUGAAGGGUGUUGCUGUUAAUCUAAGUGGACAAGCACAUUUUAAUCCACUGGUACAGCUGUGACUCUUCUAAAUUGGGCCUACAAACUGGAUGAAGAUCUAUGACAAAUGUAUUGUUUAGUUGCAGGAGAAGUUUUAUGCUGGGUGCGUGUUGGACAAACUUCCCUGUGCUCUUCCAUGUCGGUACUCAAAAUCACACCAGCCUGCCUCUACCAGCAUGCUGUGUGAGCAGAACAAAGGAACAGCUGUGAAGAUAAAUGUACCAUAGGCUCUUCAUAAACUCCAUUUUAAAAGUAAGUUUCUCAGACAGCCCAACAGGAUGUCCAAACUCAAUCAAAAUGUGUCAGGCUGCAUGCUUGACAUUUCAACACUAAAAGGAGCUUACCCUAGUUUUAACACAUAGAAAAUGGAUUAUGUCAUGUCACCAAUGGAACCUGGUGCCGAGUGAAAGUUUGAUUACAUGCUAUUAUAAAUCUGGUAGUGAACUGACUUUCAAAGUCAAUAUUGAUGGGCAAAUUAGUAAUUCUUUGCCAAAGGCUUAGGGACUGCUAAUAUAGAAAGUGUGUCUUAUCUAGUUUUCCAUUUUUAUAUUUAGGACUGUUACAAAAUGAGGUAAAUUUUGGGCAAAUCACAGUUUCAUAACAACCCAUCACAUUGCAGCUGGGAGAGAAGAAACUAAUUAUGUUUUCUUUUCUCAUGGUUAUUCUAUAAAAAUAAUAUGAAUGUAGUGAUGAAGCACUGAAGGAAUGUGUGAACUUUGACAAUGUUAAAUAUUUAAGUUGAUUUUUUUUUUCCUGUAUAAAAAUUAUCAAUGUAAGGACUCCUUUUGUAUUCUAGGCAGCUUCCCAAACUUCUGCUCUCCUGUUCGUCAGAGCAAGGAAAACUGGAGAGGACACCUGCCUGCUCCUCAAAGGCUUUAGUGGAACUGAGCAGCAGAAUUGUUUGUAGGCUUGAAAAUCAUUCUGCUCAUUAUUCUGUCUGUAAAUAGCCUCACAUCCAUGGAUGGUCACUGAUAAGUACAAUAACGAUAAAAUGAAAGCCAGGAGGAUAAAGAGUAGCACUAUGCUGUGUCUCUCAUAGAUAGAUUUCAGCUUAAUCCAACUAAAAUAUUUAUAGGAAUUUCAUGGAGAAGAAAGGAAGGAAGGAAGGAAGGAAGGAAGG